GACGUAGGGCGCGAGCGUUGUCCGGAUUUAUUGGGCGUAAAGAGCUCGUAGGCGGCUUGUCGCGUCGUCCGUGAAAACCCACAGCUCAACUGUGGGCUUGCGGUCGAUACGGGCAGGCUAGAGUUCGGUAGGGGAGCCUGGAAUUCCUGGUGUAGCGGUGAAAUGCGCAGAUAUCAGGAGGAACACCGGUGGCGAAGGCGGGUCUCUGGGCCGUAACUGACGCUGAGGAGCGAAAGCAUGGGGAGCGAACAGG
rnacentral:rRNA from 1 species